rnacentral:tRNA from 1 species
GCGGAUAUGGCGGAAUUGGUAGACGCACUAGUUUCAGGUACUAGACCCGCAAGGGAGUGGAGGUUCGAGUCCUCUUAUCCGCACCA